GCUGCGCGGGCCACGAGCUCCGGGCCGCUGCAACUGGCUCCAAGUUCCCUCCCUCGCUCUCCCGCGGAGCCUGCCUGAUCCCGCCCCUCGGUGCGGAGGUGCAAACGCGGCGGCGGCCAGCCCAGCCCUCCGUUGCCGCGCGAUCUGGGCCCGUUCGCCCACCGCGGGCCGCUCGGAGCCAGUGGCGAGGACCCGGCGGCCGCUUCAUCUCGGCCUGCAGUGCCCAGCGCGGCCCAAGCUCCUCCUCGCGAUCUUUGGAGCCUGAUCCCUGGCCUGGCUGCCUUCAGGGGCCGGAGCUCGGCUAAGUUGGUCCCGCCCAUCUCCUCCAGUCCUGGUGAUCCUUGAUCUGGUGAAUAUUGAUGGAAUUUUGCCUUCUCCAGAACUUUAAAAAUCCCCAAGCUGGACACUGAGAUCAUCAUUCCUAUUUUUUCUGAGUCUUCAGUUGAAAGCUGCCAGGACUCCAUGGCCUAGAAGGGAAAUAAAGGAUCGUGGUACCGGAAUGGAGGGAGUUAUGUGAGAAUUCUGACUGCUUCUGAGAACACUCCAAGACAACAAGACAAGAGUAUUGUGACCUCAGUUUCUUUAAAACAUGAAAUUGUUCUUGGAAUGUGUUUUUGUGUUCCUCCCAGAUUGUAGCAGAUAGGAGAGAAUUUAGUUCAGAUUACUCAUUAUUGCUUAUUGUGUUAUUCAAUCAAAUGUUUAAAAUAUCCUUAUAUACCUCUAUAGAAAACAUUUUUGGCACAUGCGGCUUGGCCUUAUGAUUGUAUAUACAGCUUAAACUCAUGAGACCUUUACUCAUCUGACCUUUCUUAACCCUUAGAGUAUAAAUUGUCUGGGGCUCUGAAUAAAGCUGGCUAUUGCAUGAGACUUUAGUCCACCUCAUUCAUCUAUUGGCUCCAUGCUCCCAGGUCCCACCCCCUCUAGAGUGAGGAAACAUUUUAUGUCGUAUUGAUAGGUUAUGGUUUGUCCUGAAAGUAAACAAGUAAGGAAAACACAAGUUCUUCUCAACAUUUGGAGAAGAGCAAAGUAAAAGUUUCUGAAAAUCAAGAAGUUAGGGUGCCGUUCUUUGGAUAGUGAAGGUGGCUGUCCGCUGACACCUAAAUGUGCAUUACCCAGACUGUAUGAUUUUCAUAUGAAAUAUUCCCCAAGGGCUUAAUCCCUGGCUGAUGGUGCUGUGGAGGAAGACUAGAUCAUGAGGUGCUAACUUCAUCAAUGGAUCAAUUCAUCCAUGAGUUCACACCCAAUGGAUUAUUAGAAGGUAGAGUCUAAUGGGGUGGACAGAUGUGUUGGUAGUUAAGAACACUUACAGCUUUUCCAGGGGACCCAAGUUUGGUUCCCAGCACCCAUAUCACGUCUCUCACAACUGCCUUUAAUUCCAGUUCCAUGGGAUCUGACAUACUCUCCUGGUCCCUGCAGAUACCCACAUACAUAUAGCAUGCACUCAAAAAGACAGACACACAUAGACAUAAAUCUUGAAAAAAAAAUCCUAAAAGAAGAAGGUAGAGCCUGGUCGGAGGAGGUGAGCCUCUGGGGUGAAAGCUUUCCAUGGACAUUCCUUUUCAGGAGGCUUCCUGGUGGUCGCAGGGCAGUCGACUUUCCUCUCUCCUGCUGUAACACUGUGGUAUUUUGGCCCUGCCAAGGCCUUAGAGCACUUGGCCUGCUGAGCAGGAUGGAACCCUGAGCAAAGACUGACAUUUAUCCUUCUGAGUUGUUUCUGAGGCAUUUUGUCACAAUGAGGAAAAGUUCUGGAACCUUUGAUUCCACCUCUCAUUGUUUAUCUGACUUGCUUUUAUCGCUCUGACCUGUGCAUCAUCAGAGCAAACUAAGCUUGACUACAUUUUAAUAUGUAAUAAUAGGAGGCUCUUUAAACUUUGCAACUGAGAAAGAUUUGAAUAUUCUGAGUUUACUAAUUGUUUUUUAAUUUCUGGAAUACAACCUUAGAUUUUCCUAAACUGAAUUUUGGGAUGUUGUCUUAUUAUCAUGAUUCCCUUUAGCCAUAGGAGGUAGUGUUUUAAUAACUUCUAGUGGAUGCCCAAGAUGGUAGAUGGUAAGGAACCCUGCAUUUACUGUUUUGUCCUAUGCACAUAUCUCUCUGGCAAGGUUUUAACUUAUGUAACAAUAUUGCAGUACACGUUUUCACUUUGAGGCCAUUAUUAAGUAAAAUAAAGGUUUGCUAGAACAUAGGUACUGAACUACCUGGGCAGCUACCUGAUGACUGAGAUGAUGCUGGUAAGUGACUAAUAGGUGACUUGAAAAUACACUGUAGAUAGUUCAAAGGCCUGAUUGAUUCCUGGUAAAAUGACGGCAUGAGAAUUCAUGACCUUCCUCAGAGUCAUAUGUGAUUCAAACCAUUGGGGCGGAUGUAUGUCUGAACUUUUCUAGUUAGUAUUUUUUUGUAAUGGCUGACCACCUGCCACUGAAAUUGUGGGAUGUGAAGCCCUGGGUGGAGUACUGCAGUCUGCCUUUAUUAUGUUUGGUAGAAGACAAUAACCUGAAGGUAGGCUUUUAUUUUCCUGCCUCUUUUCUUGAGACCUUGAUAUAUUGAUAGGUCUUUUAAAUAUCAGUGUAAUAAAGCCAUGGUAUGUUACAAUUUUUUGAACAUAGUCUGUAAUGUAGGUUGAUUAGCCAUCUGCAGAAGUUGCUCAGAUUCUUCCUGUUAUGUAGGAUUCCCUUUCAACACUAAACAGAAAAGUGCCUUUAGUUUUUCCCAGGUGUUUGUACUCAGGUGUGUACUUCUGUCUGCCUUCUUGUUUAUAGUGUAGACUUAAAACUUCUUUGAUUUAUAGGCACAAGCCAGUCAUAAAUGAUGUAGUUGGGUUUUCAUGUGGAAUGUUAUUUGCAAGCUGUUUAUGUUUUUAGUGGAGUCUUUUUCCAGUGAGCACUGUUCCUAGCAGUGUCCUGAUUUGAUUCCCCAGUUCAUUAGAAUUGGAAAGCUGCCAUUUUUUCUCAUUGUUGCCAACGUGAGCAAGCCUGAGUGUCUUCACUGUCCUCUGUUCUCUGCCCAGUGCAGAGUACCUCUGAUCUCAGACUGCUCCAGUUUCUUUAGAGUCCGUCACUAGACAGAUAGGCAUCACUGCAGCACAGCCUAGGCAGGGCCUGACUGGGUUGCAAUUAUUCAGGGUACAUUAGAUCAAAUGAAUUCUAGAUUCUUUUGCUCAGUAGCUCAUCCAAUUUAUGUGUACUAUGGAAAGAUAAUUUUACCCAUUGAGAGAUAUGUUGGCCUUCUCUCACUCGGAGAUGGUUGAUGAUAAAUAAAUGUACCUUAACCUCCUUUUGCUUAAACAGGAAAUCUCUUGGUGAUACUCAUUGUGGAUCCAGUGACAGUUGCCGUCAUCUCUGGCUGUCAGCCCUGGGGCAUUGUUGCUGACUGCUUUCUGCUCAGAACUGUGCCAUUUUAUGCCCCUGAAGUCUUGAAAUGUUUAAAGCAGAGAGGUACCAUAUUUAACACCAAUGGAGAAAAUUGAGGUUGUUUUGCUGUUGCCUGCCUUCAGCAUAUUUUUAAGAAUGUAGUGUAGUGAGGAUAUCUUUUUCUAAGUUUAUUCUUGGCAUAAGUACUCUUUAUCUACUUUAAACAGUUAUGGAAGUAAUAGGUGCAUCAAGUCACACAUAUUACAAGAACCAGCCCCCUGCCCCAUGCCUAUCAGAGGGUGAGGAACUUCAUGCUUAGCUUUUAGGAGUUCCUGAGAACCUGAGGCUGUAUCUACAGGUCUGUGCCCAGCAGCCAUAGCACCUUGAUGAAAAGACUUGACCUUUACCGUUAAGAAGCCCAUAGCCAAUUUGCCAGAGUUGUUCUCCUGUGCCAUAACUCUUUGCAUUGAAUAGGGCCACAACAUGUGUGCAUGUUAUGUCUGAGAAAAGUUACACUAGUGAGCUAGAGCUAGAGAAAGAGGUGGCUCCUUGUUUCACCUUCUGAGUAAUUCUCAUCCAUGGUGUCAUAUGCUUAGAUUGAACCUGGAGUUCAUCUGACCUGGCUGACGGCUGGUACACAGGCACGCAUGCAUGCACUCACUCACUCACGCACGCACGCACGC